CGUGUAGGCAGAGAUGCAAGUUGGGAGUGAAAUCCCGGGGCUCAACCCCGGAACUGCUCUCAAAACUGUAUCCCUUGAGUAUCGGAGAGGCAAGCGGAAUUCCUAGUGUAGCGGUGAAAUGCGUAGAUAUUAGGAGGAACACCAGUGGCGAAGGCGGCUUGCUGGACGACAACUGACGCUGAGGCGCGAAAGCGUGGGGAGCAAACA
rnacentral:rRNA from 1 species